UCCAUAUAUAGGAUGCAAUAGCGGAAAUAUAUAUGGUGUUUCUGUUAGAGCAAUUGUCCAAGGAAUUGUCCUGGGAUUUACGUAUGGAUUGGCCAUUUGUUCAUGUGCUUUACAACUCUGAGUUGGAAGGCACCUGAUUGCUUGUGGGAAAGCUGAUGGUGGUGAAGUUGUGGUAGCUUUAUUCGCAGUAAUUCCGAGUGGCAUUGGUCUGAACCAGGCAGCUACAGAACUUCAUUUUAUUAGAGCCAGGACGGAUUGCUGCUUAUAGGCUGCACGAGAUGAUAAGACGUUUAACUGCAAGCACCAAUCUUGAAGGGACCACCAUACCCAAAGUUGCAGGGGAACAUCGAAUUUAGAAACAUGUACUUCAGUUAUCUCUCACAUUCCUGGUUCAGAAUCUCAUGGGCAGGGUGGAUCUGAUGAACCACUGGACAUAGAAAAUAACAAUUCCAAUGGCAAGGAUGAGUUACCUACGGAUCAAAGUGGUGAACCAGGGAUAAAGCAGCAGAAGAGGCUUUCAUCUUCAAAUGUGAGUUCCAUGUCAUAGCUUCACUUUAUUACACUUACCUCAUAUCCGGGUUUUAACAGUAAUACCAAUAUACACUGAUGCAGUUUUGUGAAACAAAUCAAGCGGUUGUGCAUGCUUUUUAGCUUGAUUUGUCACAUUAUAUAUUGUGACAUGAUGGUACUUGUGUCUACGUUCAUAUGG